rnacentral:tRNA from 1 species
GUUCUAAAUAAUUUAAAUAAAAUAUCUACUUUGGAUGUAGAAAAUUCUUUAAUUUCAAUUAACCUAAUAA